rnacentral:lncRNA from 1 species
GGGGUAACACAGAGAUGGCAAUUAAUUCUGCCUGGAGAAACAGCAGUGAAGGUGACAACCUGAUGAGGGCGGAAAGCAGAAUUUCUAAAGGCUGAAUUUCAGAAGCUUCCGGAACUAAAGUGAUACGGAAGUUGAGUGAGUCUCGGUCGCAUAUUGCUGCUGCACUUGGUCAAGGCCCUUCUGCUAGUGUUUUCAGACGCCCAGGGAACGCGGCUGCGGGAGCGGUUCUUCGGUUUGCACAGCUAGAGGCCUCGCUGCAGCAAAGGAUGAGCGGAACCUUGGAAAAGGUGCUGUGCCUGAGGAACAAUACCAUUUUAAACCAAGCCUUUUCUCUCUUAAGGUUUAGAACUUCAGGAGAGAAGCCCAUCUAUUCUGUAGGUAAGCAGUUUUUACCGGAUAUAGUUGGCCUGCUUUAAGUGACCCUUUA